UAAUAAUAAUAAUAAUAAUAUAAAUUUUGGAAGGAAAGGUUCCCCACAAAAUAACUCUAGGCCAAAAAGAGAGGGAAAAUUAUGUCUCCAUUUCACAAUAAAAAAGGGAAGAUAACUAGUUGAAAUGCAUUAGUUUUAUGAAGAGGAUAUGAAAAGCUAUUUGAUUUCUUUAACCUCAAAUGUGACAGUAGGCCCUGAAGAUGCUGGCUGACGUAAGGUUACUGAAGAAACUGUACCCGUUCCAGACAAGAUGCAGACUGCCCUUGUCCUCUGUUGCGCAAAUGACAGUAUUUUUGCAACA
rnacentral:misc_RNA from 1 species